UGGGGAAUAUUGGACAAUGGGGGAAACCCUGAUCCAGCCAUGCCGCGUGAGUGAUGAAGGCCUUAGGGUUGUAAAGCUCUUUCGCCUGGGAAGAUAAUGACGGUACCAGGAGAAGAAGCCCCGGCUAACUUCGUGCCAGCAGCCGCGGUAAUACGAAGGGGGCUAGCGUUGUUCGGAAUUACUGGGCGUAAAGCGCGCGUAGGCGGAUCAUUAAGUCAGGGGUGAAAUCCCGGGGCUCAACCUCGGAAUUGCCUCUGAUACUGGUGGUCUUGAGUCCGAGAGAGGUGAGUGGAACUCCGAGUGUAGAGGUGAAAUUCGUAGAUAUUCGGAAGAACACCAGUGGCGAAGGCGGCUCACUGGCUCGGUACUGACGCUGAGGUGCGAAAGCGUGGGGAGCAAACAGGAUUAGAUACCCGUGUAGUCC
rnacentral:rRNA from 1 species